rnacentral:rRNA from 1 species
AGUGAACGCUGGCGGCGUGCUUAACACAUGCAAGUCGAACGAGAACGGAUAUAGCUUGCUAUAAUUGUCAGCUAAGUGGCGCACGGGUGAGUAAUGUAUAGGUAAUAUGCCUCUUACUAAGGGAUAACAAAUGGAAACGUUUGCUAAUACCUUAUACUCCUUAUUAACAUAAGUUAAUAAGGGAAAGAUUUAUUGGUAAGAGAUUAGCCUGUAUUGUAUCAGUUAGUUGGUGGGGUAAUGGCUUACCAAGACUAUGACACAUAACUGGUUUGAGAGGAUGAUCAGUCACACUGGAACUGAGACACGGUCCAGACUCCUACGGGAGGCAGCAGUGGGGAAUAUUGCACAAUGGACGAAAGUCUGAUGCAGCAACGCCGCGUGGAGGAUGACACAUUUCGGUGUGUAAACUCCUUUUAUAUGAGAAGAUAAUGACGGUAUUAUAUGAAUAAGCACCGGCUAACUCCGUGCCAGCCGCCGCCGUAA